CAGUCGAACGAGAGAGAGGGAGCUUGCUUCCUUGAUCGAGUGGCGAACGGGCGAGUAACGCGUGAGGAACCUGCCUCAAAGAGGGGGACAACAGUUGGAAACGACUGCUAAUACCGCAUAAGCCCACGACCCGGCAUCGGGAAGAGGGAAAAGGAGCAAUCCGCUUUGAGAUGGCCUCGCGUCCGAUUAGCUAGUUGGUGAGGUAACGGCCCACCAAGGCGACGAUCGGUAGCCGGACUGAGAGGUUGAACGGCCACAUUGGGACUGAGACACGGCCCAGACUCCUACGGGAGGCAGCAGUGGGGAAUAUUGCACAAUGGGGGAAACCCUGAUGCAGCGACGCCGCGUGGAGGAAGAAGGUCUUCGGAUUGUAAACUCCUGUUGUUGAGGAAGAUAAUGACGGUACUCAACAAGGAAGUGACGGCUAACUACGUGCCAGCAGCCGCGGUAAAACGUAGGUCACAAGCGUUGUCCGGAAUUACUGGGUGUAAAGGGAGCGCAGGCGGGCGAUCAAGUUGGAAGUGAAAUCCAUGGGCUCAACCCAUGAACUGCUUUCAAAACUGGUCGUCUUGAGUAGUGCAGAGGUAGGCGGAAUUCCCGGUGUAGCGGUGGAAUGCGUAGAUAUCGGGAGGAACACCAGUGGCGAAGGCGGCCUACUGGGCACCAACUGACGCUGAGGCUCGAAAGUGUGGGUAACAAACAGGAUUAGAUACCCUGGUAGUCCACACCGUAAACGAUGAUUACUAGGUGUUGGGAGAUUGACCCUCUCAGUGCCGCAGUUAACACA
rnacentral:rRNA from 1 species